UAGUGGCGAACGGGUGAGUAACACGUGGGCAAUCUGCCCUUCACUCUGGGACAAGCCCUGGAAACGGGGUCUAAUACCGGAUACGACCUGCCGAGGCAUCUCGGCGGGUGGAAAGCUCCGGCGGUGAAGGAUGAGCCCGCGGCCUAUCAGCUUGUUGGUGGGGUAAUGGCCUACCAAGGCGACGACGGGUAGCCGGCCUGAGAGGGCGACCGGCCACACUGGGACUGAGACACGGCCCAGACUCCUACGGGAGGCAGCAGUGGGGAAUAUUGCACAAUGGGCGCAAGCCUGAUGCAGCGACGCCGCGUGAGGGAUGACGGCCUUCGGGUUGUAAACCUCUUUCAGCAGGGAAGAAGCGCAAGUGACGGUACCUGCAGAAGAAGCGCCGGCUAACUACGUGCCAGCAGCCGCGGUAAUACGUAGGGCGCAAGCGUUGUCCGGAAUUAUUGGGCGUAAAGAGCUCGUAGGCGGCUUGUCACGUCGGGUGUGAAAGCCCGGGGCUUAACCCCGGGUCUGCAUCCGAUACGGGCAGGCUAGAGUGUGGUAGGGGAGAUCGGAAUUCCU
rnacentral:rRNA from 2 species